CUCCGCGCCCUCCAUCUGCGCUGCGGGGCGGGGCUCGGGCCGUCGGACCCGCCGGAGAGAAAAGCUGUUUCUUUGCCGGAGUUUCCUCCACAAUCAUGACGCGGAAGUUCACAGAGGAUUCCUGGAAUUCAAGAGCUAUUGAGGAUCUGAGUUUCCAAGAUGUGAACGGUCGGUCGCUGACACAGAGUCCGCCGCCGCCACACAAAGGCCGGAGGCUCCCCCGCCGCAUCCUAACCCCCGGUAGCCACGACGCUGCAACUCACUUGCUGAUUCACAGAACAACAUCUACUGAACACCUGCUGUGCUGAACACCGCCCCACCUUCCAGGGUGCAACGUGAUCAACAGACAAAACUCCUGGCUGCUUCGAGUGUACGUUUUCACGGAGAAGCAGCAAAAAUAAAUACACAAACAAUAGGUUAGUUUGUUACACGAGCCAUAAGUCCCGUAGAGAAGAACGAAAUAGAAAGGAAGACAGGGAAUGUGGAGGGGAGAAGAGGGUGAGCAGAGGCCUCAGUAGAAGCUUCUCUGAGAAAGGGACAUGUGAGCAAAGAGGUGAAGGAUGCGACACAGUGGAGAUGGGGAGGAGAGCGUUUUCCUCCCCGGGAGAGCUAGCGCACAGGCCCUGGGGUAGGAGAGCAUGUAUCGGGUUCAGGGAAUGGCCAGGAGGCGGUGGAGCUGAAGCAGAGCUAGCAAGGGGCCCAGGUGGAGGAGAUAAGGUCCAGCUGGAGGAUGCAGGGGUGAGGUCUGGAGGCCAAGUAAGGUUUGACUUUGACCAGGAGGAACCCACUGGAGAGUUUGGAGGAGAAGAGAGGCGUCGUCUACCCUGUGUCUUCAUACUCCAGCUACUGUGUCAAGAUCAGAUUGAAGACAGUGCCCGCCAGGUUACUAGGAGAUAGUGAGCCAGGUGUUAGCAGUGGAGGUGGUGGAUUCUGGACAUAUUUUGAAGGUAGAGCUGAUGGGAUUCAUUGACAGAUGAGAUAUGUGAGAGAUAGGAGUUUGGGAUGAUUCUAAGGUUUGAGGCCUGAGAAACUAGAAGAAUGCAGUUGUCCGCAACUGCGAUGGGGAACACCAAGAGGGGCAUGUGCUGGAGGCAGGACUGACGAUUAGGAGCUAAGUGUGGGACCUGCUGAGUUUGAAAUGCCUUCUAGACAUCCAAGGCAAUGUCCAGUAGACAGAUUUAUGCAUCCGGAGUUCAGAGGAGAGAUCCAUGCUGCAGGUAUAAAUUGGAAAAGCCAACUGGAAAAAACAACCAAAAACCAAGAGAUGGCGAUGUCCAGGAAGCCAGAUGAAGACGGUUUGUCAAGCCAGGCAGAAGGAUUGACUUGGAUUGACUUGGAUUGAUCUUGGAUUGACUAGGACGGCAAAAGUCAUCUAGUCCAGCCAACCCUCACUGAUUGGACGCCAUCCCUGAUAAGAGGUGAAGAGCUUGGGAUCUGCAUUAAGCAAACUUGUUUGAGUCCCAGCUCCAGCCCUCAGCAGCCAGAGAUCUCGGGCCAGCUACCCAAUCUCUCUAAACCCAGUUUGU